rnacentral:rRNA from 1 species
UAGGGAAUCUUCCACAAUGGGCGCAAGCCUGAUGGAGCAACGCCGCGUGCAGGAUGAAGGCUUUCGGGUCGUAAACUGCUUUUCUGAGGGAAGAUUAUGACGGUACCUCAGGAAUAAGGAUUGGCUAACUCCGUGCCAGCAGCCGCGGUAAUACGGAGAAUCCAAGCGUUACCCGGAAUUACUGGGCGUAAAGAGUUGCGUAGGCGGUAAUUUAAGUGGGAUGCGAAAUCCUGUGGCUCAACCACAGGUUGGUAUUCCAAACUGAAUAACUAGAGGAUGGUAGAGGCAAGUGGAAUUGCUGGUGUAGGAGUGAUAUCCGUAGAUACCAGCAGGAACACCCAUGGCGAAGGCAGCUUGCUGGGCCAUUCCUGACGCUGAGGCACGAAAGCGUGGGGAGCGAACCGG